rnacentral:rRNA from 1 species
GACGAACGCUGGCGGCGUGCUUAACACAUGCAAGUCGAACGGAAAGGCCUGCUUUCCCUUGUGGUUUGCGGGUACUCGAGUGGCGAACGGGUGAGUAACACGUGAGUGAUCUGCCCCCAACUUGGGUAUAAGCCUGGGAAACUGGGUCUAAUUCUCGAUAGGACUGCAGGGUGGUGCCUGUGGUGGAAAACGAUUUUCUAGUGGUUGGGGAUGAGCUCGCGGCCUAUCAGCUUGUUGGUGGGGUAAUGGCCUACCAAGGCGGCGACGGGUAGCCGGCCUGAGAGGGUGGACGGCCGCAUUGGGACUGGGAUACGGCCCAGACUCCUACGAGAAGCAGCAGUGGGGAAUAUUGCACAAUGAGCGGAAGCCUGAUGCAGCGACGCCGCGUGGGAGAUGACGGCCUUCGGGUUGUAAACUCCUUUCGACCGCGAGGAAGCCACCUGGUUGGAAGGGUGGUGACGGUAGUGGUAGAAGAAGCACCGGCUAACUACGUG